GAUGAUGAUGAGUUUUGCUUUCUUUUUUUCCUUUAUGAUCUCUGAAGCCAAAAAUCUCUUAACCUUGAUGUUCAUAAGUCAUAAAUUUUUUCCUUUUUCUUUUUCAUUUGCUGAUCUCCAUUGUUUUUUCUUGGUUUGAUCUUGACAUUUCCUGCUGCUCCUUUUGCAAUGUUAAUUUGCUAACUACAAGAACAACUUUUGAGUGUUCUGCUGAGGCACUGCAUAAGAUCCUCAUGAGUUGGUUCUGCAUCUUUUGCAAUCCUUAGACUCAAGAAUUACGUAGUCUUCUGAUACAUUAAACCACCGCAUUUUCAAAUAAUAAAAUUAAACUCGCUUAAUUCGCAUAUCAGCUGAGUGAGAAAAUAUUUAGUGAAUUUUUCUUUUUCUAAAUUAAGUUUUAGAGAUACAACAAUUGAGCUUUCAAUUCAACCGGCGGAUUCGACGAAAUCCAAGACUAUUAAUUUUUCUAAAUUAAUUUUUCUUUUUCUAAAUUUUUCUUUUUUUUUUUUUUUUUUUUUUGAGAAAAAAUAAACUGAAAUAUUUUAUACUUUUCCUUAUAACUCUGCAAUGCAUUCAGUUGCAGAUCAAGAUGCUCGUCUUUUUCCUAUUCUCACGUGGAAGACAACAUGAUGAAAGCUUAGAGAAUCUUGCAGUUUCAUAUUCUAGCCCUUUUGUUUACAGAUUCCGAUUUCUUCUUUUGCUUUUUUUUUUUUCAGUUAUAAUUUGGAUCGCUUCAUCCUUUAUAACAUUGAAUUUGAUGAAGCAAACUCUACAUAAUGUUUGGACAGGAUUUAUUUUAGAAUAAUGCAAGAAGAAGAAGGAAUUGCAAUUGCUCAAGACAGUGUGAAUUUCGUAGCAUUUGUAUUCUUUCAAAGAUAAUGAAUUUUUAAUUUUUUUUUUUUGGCGUAUGCUUCAUCAUAUUUUGCCAACUAACUGAAUCUUGAAAAGCAUCCCAUUCCGAUUGAUAACAUCACAUGUCAGAUUUAUGGUAUGCAUAACGAAACAACCUUACAUGCUUUGUGUCAUUGCUCGGCCUCUCUGGCAGCUCUUAGGUUUUGGUAACUUAGUAUCCAAUUCCAACAUUACAUCUCUGCGGGAGUUAUUGGAACAGAUUAAGGUGCCAGAGGAGUUGAAGAAUCUGCUACUCUAUUAUGGGCUAAUUGGACAGCCGAAAUCAAGCCUUGCAUUCUGAUACCAGACGGACAGCUGAAUAUAGAGCAACGGAUUGUUUCCAAGCAUGUUCCCUGUGCAGUUCCACCUGCUGAUCAUCGGUUUUGUGGCUACUGGAAGUUACAUAGCAGCAGCUGUGAAACCGACACCCUUGGCAAUUGCUGUCCAAGAAGGUUUGAAACUGGCCCACAAGCUUCGGUUGGACAAGUUUUAUGAAUAUGGAAAGCAAAAGGGCUUGAGGAAGAGUAACGGAAUGCUCCAUCAGGUUCCUUUUCAUAAAUAAAUACCCCCCAUACUCUCUCUCUCUCUCUCUCUCUCUCUCUUUCUCUCCACAUGUAUAUUUGGCACCAAAAGAUUGUCUAGUUGCAGACUGGUAAGGUCUGUUGCAGGGAAAGAACCCAGCAAGUAAGAAUAUGCAACCUGCCUGUUCAGGUAAUAUAGCUUUUAUUAUUGACAGUCAUCUCAUUCUCUCCUGUUUCGGUAAACUGAUGAUUGUUAGCCUCUAAAUUCAUGGUUGCUUAUUGUGAAUAUGUCAUGCAAAGGAAUGUUUGAGAUUCAUUAAAAAUGAACCUUAUAUGUUAAUGUAUUUGCUCUAAAGUUAUGCUUUCUUCAAAAUAUAGAUGGGCGUUAAAACAGGAAAACUACUAGGAGAAGCCGAGAAUAACAGUUUCCAAAGAACAGCUGUUUCCUUUCUCCUAAGUGUAUGCAUAGCUUCCUAUUGCCAUUAAAGUUGUUAAAAAAUUUCUGUAUCUAGGCUUUAAAAUGUGCCCUCUGCUGAAUAUGGAUGGAUGCUGCAUUCUGAUCCUUUGGAUAAUACUCAUCAUCAAUUCCAUUACCUGCUAAUUAAGUACCUAAGCCAAGUCUAUAGAGACAACAACCAGCCAUUCAAAGAAUCUAAGAGUACUUGCACAGCCCUGUCCCUCGCAAAAAAGCAAUGCAUAUGACAAAUCAGUUUUUCAUAUAAAUUUUAAUUACUCAUGUCUUGAUAGAACUUUGCACUAUGCUUCCAGCAAAGUAACUUUUAAGAACUUCGAACAGAGAACCCACAGUGCUGCGAGAGGACCUAGGAGAUUUUCUAGACCAUCAAAACCAUGAGUUCCCGCAUGCUUCAGACUUAAGCAACCAUCCAUGCCAAUUUUCGCACUAAAUUCAGGGACUUAAAGCUGAGUAGCAAAUAAAGCAACCAUGGGAGUUGAUGCAAAGUUAUGCAUCAGAACACAAAUAAAUGAAACUUUGAAAUUUAAGAUUUAUUGAUAUGAGGUUUGUGGUUCAAUUUAGCUUGAAUACCUGUUAACAGGUUUGGAAACAAUAAGUAUCCCCCAUCCCACCAGUUCUGUCACUAACAAAUGAGGAAUAAUUUGUAAGGCUGCAAUUAAGUUGGUUUAUUGGCUGCGUGCUUGCAUGGUGGUUGCUGAUUUUGAUUCUUCAAUUCAUUUCCAGCCACAAGAAAGAACGCGGUGUGCCUGA